GCUAAAUGAUGAAUCCCUAUAUCUGAGCAUACUGUAGUUGGUCCUUGGUUUGCUUGUGAUGCAACUCUACUGUUUCAAGACGGGACUGAUAGCAGC